ACAGGGAAACGAGCAAAUUCUAGCAGGAGAGCUUGCAAGGGGUCAGACUUUUCCUGUGGAUGACAUCGUAGUUCAGAUUGUUAAACUUGACCUUGGGAGUGGUGAAAAUAAUCCUUUGGAAAACGUUCUAUUCUUCACCAAGAAUGAACCGGAAACAGCCACCCGUGGGAAGGCUAUCUUUCAAGCUGAACGUAACCUUGAGCUGAUAAUACGAGUGUUCUCCAAGAGACGAAACGAUGCGCAAUUCAACCAAAAUCUGAAGGCGCUUUUUGAAACCAGAUUGGGCAAUGACGAACUGGUGAGAAGGCUUUUGCCCCCAGUGGCAGCGGAAGAAUAAAAAUGAACGCUUGUAUCAACAAAAGAGUUGGAAUGAUUGUGCGUAACGUUACAAUUGCUGUUAUGCUGCUGCACGAGUUCUUUCAAAGUGAUAUAACAUAUUACGCAUGCAUAUUUUUUAAAUAUAAUUAUGAUAAUAAAAAUGUGCUUAUUAUUUAAUACAGUGACAGUUCUUUUCAAACUCACAUAACAUUAACAUAACUCACUAUCUUGUAAAAUAUCUUUGUCAAAUCGUACCAAAAUUUGGAGUAGUUGAAAUAUAUUACGCUAAUUUACCUAUUAACUUACAUAAAUGAUUUAUUAAACGCUGCACCAGUAUAUUUUUAAAUAAACAAACCUCUCAUAAA